GCUCAAUGGCGCUGUUUUGCAUAAAGUCGACAGCGAACUUAUGAUAUGUUCAAACAAAAUUCUCGACUCUGGAAACUCUAGAAGAGAAUCAAGUAUGCUGUCCAAACUCAUAUAGUCAUGUGGAGGAUGCAUCCUAAAGACCUCCAUUAUCAGUGAUAGAAGUGGACCACAAGAUAUAUACUUUGUGCUUCCGUCUUCAGCAGCAAGUGUAGAGAAUAAUUCCUCACAUAUCCCACGAGAGACAGGGUGCGAAAGUUUUUCAAAUGAUACAAACCUUUUCAAUCUUCGCAAUUUCUCAACAGAACUGAACUCUGCCCUUCCCACACGCUGCAUUUCAAUUAGCCUUCUAAAACAAUUAAGCAGAUCAGUAGCAAUUGAACUUCUGGUUGGUGGAGGCUGAAUGGGAAGGAAACCUUUUACUGGGUACCUGAAAGGGAUUUCCCCAAAGUUUAACUCACAACGUUCACCUUGAGAAAGAGAAAUUGCUGGAUAAUAUCCCAAUCCAGGUACCAUCUUACGAAUACCAAUAAAUGCUACACCAAGUGAAACUCCAUUUCGAUAAAAUGAUAUCUCAUCACCAUCCAAAUCUAUACAACAUCCAAUCACAUCACCAACAACCCAUGGCUGACCAUAAUCCUGAGCUUCCUUAUUCCAUUUACUGACCCUUUUUCCAUCGUAUGCAUAUGAAUCAUCAGCAUCACCCACA
rnacentral:misc_RNA from 1 species